AAAUCUGCUAUCUGUUGUAAUCUUGGAGGAGCGUUGGGUAUGAGUGUGAGUAGUUUAUCACCCUAUUCUCCUUCCACGAGUGUAGCAAGAGAACUCAAGCAAAAACCCAACAUAAUCACCCCCUACACAAACCGUGAAAUUCAUAGGGUAGCAAGACUCAUAAGCAUCCUUCUCCUUCGGUCCACUGUUCGGCUGUGUGCCCAUGCAAAGAAGCUGUAUUAUUUUUAUUACUUCCUUGUUCCUCAUGAUUAUCUUCGCCCUGUUGGAGAUUCUGCUGCAUGCAGAAAGAUAUCUUGACUCUCACCCUCCACCCUCUUCAUUUGGACGCACAUUCAUCCUCUAGUGGAGAAGUUUUGAUUGGGUCUUUUCUUCCAUGGCAUGCCACUAAAACCGAUUUCUUGGAGCUGUAGAGAAGAGAGAGGUGGCACAGCUUUUGGUCCCUGUUCUCCAUGGCCGAUUUGCACAACUUGGGUUCCUUGCAAGUAAUUGUGCGCAAGAUCUUAAAAUGUGGAACGGUUUGGUGAUCUUGGAUUAAAAGAUUAUACACAUCGAGGCUUCGUGAUGAGGACAUAGGAGGUGGCAUGACCAAGACAACAAACUUGGAGGACAUACAAGGUCUUGGAGGUCCAAUGACGAGAGCAAAAGCUAAAAAGGCUAAAGAGGCUCUAAAUCUCUUAUUUGAGGACAAAUUCUUCUAAAGAAGGAGGGAAUGAUGAGGACAUAGGAGGUGGCAUGACCAAGACAACAAACUUGGAGGACAUACAAGGUCUUGGAGGUCCAAUGAUGAGAGCAAAAGCUAAAAAGGCUAAAGAGGCUCUAAAUCUCUUGGUGACCACUUUACUUGAGACAAGCCCAAGUCUAAAGGAAGAAGAGCCCAAAAUGAUACACUUAAUUCAAAUUGAAGACUUUGAAGAAUAAGCCUCAAUGGAUAUGCAUGAAGGAUUUAUUUUUACUUGGCCCAAAUUCUGCACUUAAUUUUAUUUUUCUUAUAUUCAGUUAAACUUUUGUAAUAAGGCUUAGUGGGCUGGAUUAUUGGGCUGUCUAUUUUCUUUUAUGUGUAAGCACUUUUAGGUUAAGCUCAAUAUGGAUGUUGCCCACUAUAUAAGGGAACACCAUAGCUUUUGAAGGGAAAUUCAGAAUAAAAAGAUAACCUUUUUUUGGUGAGAGACUAGCUUCUCUAGGGUUCUUUUGAGAAUCUCAGAACUUAUCAAGGGUGCUAAUCCUUGUGGCGUUCAUAGGCUAAUCAAUAUUUGGAUUGUGGCGCCUUCCAGUUAUCGUUUCUUGAUUGUGUUCACAAAUUCUUGUAUCAAACCCUAUCACCCAAACCUUCAAUUUUCGUCCAAAAUAGUCUCGGUUCAUAUCUCCUGAUAUACGCGUUGGUUUUCGGUGAUUCUUGAGUCAAAGUCGCGAUUCAGAAAGAGAUCU